GGACCCACCUGAUUCCAUUCCGAACUCAGAAGUGAAACGAAAUAGCGUCGAUGGUAGUGUGGGGUUUCCCCAUGUGAGAGUAGAACAUCGCCAGGC
rnacentral:rRNA from 1 species